UACAGAGGUCCCGAGCGUUGUUCGGAUUCACUGGGCGUAAAGGGUGCGUAGGUGGCCGUGGAAGUUUGAUGUGAAAGCUCGGAGCUUAACUCCGAAAUGGCAUUGAAUACUCUACGGCUUGAGGGUCGGAGGGGAGACUGGAAUUCUCGGUGUAGCAGUGAAAUGCGUAGAUAUCGAGAGGAACACCAGUGGCGAAGGCGAGUCUCUGGACGACACCUGACACUGAGGCACGAAAGCUAGGGGAG
rnacentral:rRNA from 1 species